CUGAGGCGUGCAGCACAAGAGACGCUUCAGCCUGGAUGCGUCGCCUCGUCUCGCCUUUUGCCCAGUGCCCACCGCGCAGUUGGGCUGAAAUGCUUCACUUCGGUGCUUCUUGUCCAUGCCAGAGCUUCCUUCGCCUGCUUGGGGAACUCCGGGAGAGACGAGGAAGAGAAGCGCUUCGUUGGGGUUACGUCUGCAGCGCCAGCAAGUUUUCCCGAGCAACGUCCCUGACCAUGCUGUGAAUAGCUGGUGGAAAUCCGUACCUCGCUCCAUGUGCCAUCGCUGAGGACGAGCGAGCAUGCCACAGCUAAGCUGAGGUGACCCUUGGGAUUUUGAAUCUUCUCUACUAUAGAAAUGACUGCCAAACUGCAAAUUUCUCAGCAGAACAUCAGAUCCACAACUGGAAGAGAGAAAGAAAAGUCUUUGGGGCCCCAUGUGGCAGUGUUGCCUCUCCCCUCCCCGCCCCCGCAUCCCUCCUCUCUCCAUGGUACUGCUGCUGAUUCUCCCAUUGCCCUGUCACUGAGACUGGCCAUCAAAUCUCAUUUCAAGUCUUCCCACAAAGGGUAAGAAAUUAUAAUUCUUCACUUCAAGGCCACAUAUCAAGCAAUGAAGCCUGGUGACUGAAUGAAGGGUGAUACCCAAGACUGUAGAUGAUAGAAGAGCGACUUUCUUAUAUUGAAGUCAUUUUGCAAAAACAAUGGGUACCACUCAAGUGACUGCCAGUCUUCAGCGGAUAUAAAUCAAGAUAAA